rnacentral:rRNA from 1 species
GACGAACCGUGCGACCGUUAUUCGGAAUCAUUGGGCUUAAAGGGCGCGUAGGCGGGUCGGCACGUCGGUCGCUGAAAUCCCCCGGCUUAACCGGGGACGUGGCACCGAUACGGCCGACCUGGAGGCGAGGAGGGGGACCUGGAACGUCCGGUGGAGCGGUGAAAUGCGUUGAGAUCGGACGGAACGCCGACGGCGAAAGCAAGGUCCUGGACUCGUCCUGACGCUGAGGCGCGAAAGCCAGGGGAGCGAACGGG